UCGAGAAUCUUCGGCAAUGCGCGCAAGCGUGACCGAGCGACGCCGCGUGUGGGAUGAAGGCCUUCGGGUUGUAAACCACUGUCAGUUGGGAGGAAAUCCAUAGGGGCUAUCCCCUAUGGUUGACCUAUCAUCAGAGGAAGGACGGGCUAAGUUCGUGCCAGCAGCCGCGGUAAGACGAACCGUCCAAACGUUAUUCGGAAUCACUGGGCUUAAAGGGUGCGUAGGCGGCUUGGCAAGUUGGGUGUGAAAGCCCUCGGCUCAACCGAGGAAUUGCGCCCAAAACUGCCUUGAUAGAGUGAGAUAGAGGUGAGCGGAACUUAUGGUGGAGCGGUGAAAUGCGUUGAUAUCAUAAGGAACGCCAGUGGCGAAAGCGGCUCACUGGAUCUCUACUGACGCUGAGGCACGAAAGCUAGGGUAGCGAACAGGAUUAGAUACCCGUGUAGUCC
rnacentral:rRNA from 1 species